GUCUACAGCCGUGCUACUCUGAACAAGCCUGAUCCUGUCUGAUCUCAGAAGCUAAGCAGGGUUGGGCCUGGUUAGUGCUUGGAUGGGAGACCACCUAGGAAAGCCAGGUGCUGUAGGCA
rnacentral:rRNA from 1 species